rnacentral:misc_RNA from 1 species
UCAUAAUAAUUUUAGGUGAUAACAGCUGCAGUGUUCAUGAAGGGGGAGCCACUCGGAGUAUCCGAUAAUUGGGAAACGUAAACAAAAUGGAUGACAACCAAUCUAGCACACAAAUUCCUGGGACUCCAGUAGUGAAAUACCACCGCCGUUUGGACCGGGGUCCAGAUAAACAUUUCCAGAAACUCAAUGGGGAUAGCAAAGUUUUGCUCAGUACAUUGCGUGGUGCGCUUGAAGAAGCGAAGAACCGAAUAGUGCGCCUCAGGGACGAAAACGAUGAAAAAGAUGAAAUAAUUGAUGAAGAAAGAAAAAUGCGGAGGGAUGCAGAACACAGGCUCCAAAAGUAUCUUGUGGAUCUUUAUAAUAAUCCUGAUGUUAAUGGUGAGCUGCGUUCACGCUUGCCUCGUGCGAAGAAAAAAGACCCAUUAUCUGAGCUGGAUAGUGACUUUGGUGGUCAUGAAACUAAUGACGACACUGAAGGACUUCAAGAUGACACUGUUGGUGGCUCAAGGAAUGAUGUCAGCGUUACAUCUGAUAAGGAAGACGGGAGUCAGAUGAGGAAAUCGAAACUAGCUAGGCUGUCAGAAAAUGGAAUGGAGAUAGACACUGUCUCUCACUCUGGUAUCAGUGCACUCCAUGAUCCUGUGACUGGGGAACAGGUGGUGGUACCUGGUCCUGGGGAGUCAGGGCAGGGCACAGAUGGGACAGGUGUGUUGCUGGCAGACAACACUGGUAUGCAUGAGAGAAAGGCAGACUCAAUUGCUACCAGUUUAGCAGAGAGCUCUGGGUAUCUUGGCCUUCCCUCUCCCCACACAUCCCCAGUGUGGCAGGCAAGUGUGGCUGAUAGCCUUCCACCUAUAAUGAACCCGCUGACUUCUGGUAGCCAAGUCCUGUCUGCUUCUUCGUCUUAUCAGGCAUUACCAACAAGGCAAGGUUUAGGAGAUGUUAAUGGUGAUGAUGGCGUGCGAGAACAAGUGGAGCAUAUAUUGAAUGGUGGUGGACUGGCGAAUCCUGAUCAGCAAGUACCUUCUGUCUCACCGGAUCAUCCCCCUGUGCUUCAAAUGACCACAACAGUCACAUCUCCAGUGUCUGUGGGAGGUGGAAAUGUGUUGCCAUCAGCUGUAUCACAGAGUGGCGUAUAUUCAACCCCUCUGACACAUCAUCAUCAACAUCAUCGUCCCGGGAUGCAUUCAGCUCCGCUGUUGCAGGGAGGAGUAUACCCGACACCACCUUUAUACUAUGGAAGUGUGUAUGUUCCCCCUUCAUCAUUGACCCAUACCGGGCUCCUAGCAACACCACCCAUCACUUCCAUGAGGACAGGUGGUGUACCUGAUCAUGUUAGUCACAUCUCAAGACUGUUGGUCGAGAUUGCUACUCUUAAAAAAGAGAAUGAAGAGUUGAAGUCAGAGCUGAAAGAUGCAAAACGUGAUCUGGAAAUAUUAAAGUCUGAUGCCCGCAGUGAUGUUGAUGAGAGCCUUGAACAAAUAGGAGUACUUAUAGAGGAGGUACAUGCUGCAGAGAAGAUUAGAGAUGCAGCGAUGACACAGAUGAUCAGGUCAGCUGAUGAUGACCGGGACGCUACGCUUGGGGAACUGGAUCGCAUGAGACUCCGGAGUGUCAAUAGGUCUGACCCGUUCCUUGUCUCUGAGACGGAAGUGUCUGAUGAUGACAUUGAUGAUGGGAUUGAGAACACCUCAGGAUCAUCCCUGAAUCUCUCUGGAGGAAAUGCACCAGUCAAUAAGCGCAGGUCCCUUCAGCACAUGGAAAGGAUGCUGGCAAAGCAGCGAGAAGUCAUGAAACAGCAGAUGCAGCUGGUGAUUGGUCAAAGGGACAGUGCCAGGUCACAGGUAGCAAAACUGGAGAAAAAGCUUUCAACCCUGGAACUCACUGGCCUCAAUGGUCCUAGUGAUAACAGAGUAAAGCUUGAGCUGUUGAUCAAGAUGCGAAGUUGAAAAUAGUAGAGCAAGAGAGGGACAUGGUGGUCGCUAAACUCAAGUUCCUCAUGCAAGAUGUCAAGGAGACUGCCCUGCUAAGCAAUCUCGAGAAAGCCCUUCU